GGCGACGUAGCUCAGGUGGUUAGAGCGAAGGUCUCAUAAUCCUUAGGUCAGUGGUUCGAGUCCACUCGUCGCUACCA
rnacentral:tRNA from 1 species